rnacentral:lncRNA from 1 species
GAAGAAGGUGCUUGUUUCUUCUUUGCCUUCUGCCAUGAUUGCCAUGUGAAUCGCACCCCUGGAACUGUGCAGGGCCCACCUGUGUGGCCACACGCAGUGACCCUGAGCAAAGGAGUGACCACAGAAGUGCAUGGCAAAGCAGAAAGGUGUGACGUCUUGGAGGACGCGGGAGGAAAGCACGCCCAGCGGACAGGAGCCAUCACGCGGCUGCGGGCUGCUGCUGAGAACCUGGCGUGGGCCACCGUCGUCAGCAGCGUGGAGGGAGCCGAGGAGCAUGGACACCGUCUUCUCCUUCCAGCAGGCACAGGUAUGGAAGGAGACUGAGGCUGGUCUUGGAUGGACACUUGUUAUUGCAGUCAGAGUCCAUCUGGAUAAUCCUGGAUAAAUCUCAUCUGGAGAUCCUUCACCAGAUCACAUCGGCAAUGACCUGUUCCCCAAAUAAGGCCCUGUGCACAGGUUCUGGGGGAACGCAUAUGCUGCCUCCUUUCUGAUAGGGAGACCCACCCACCUGUUCACCUCUCUGCAUGUGGUCUGCGAGCGGGCUUGGAGCCACAUCUGAAGCCUCACCUCUAGGAGCCAGUUUUGUCUCCUCCUCGUCCCUGCUUCUUAUCAGUCGUGCGGCUGGAUGGCAGAGGUGAUAAAGCUGGGAAGAGAGGCAUCCUGGAAGGGCCCGUGUUAUGAAAACCCAGAGUUUCACUCAGAUCGACAGCUGCGUGGGGGCCGGCGCUCCCGGCAGUGAUUGAGUUACCCUCAGCAGCGGGGUCCCGAGGUCGCAAUCCCUGCUGGGGGAGUGAUUGAUGCCGGACUCCAGGGCCCACCUUGGGUGACCCUGGGAUGUCAAUGAGUGACCGCUGAUUCUGGGCCACUUGGUUCUGGGCCACCCGCAUGUCCAGAGACCUCAAGGUGGGCCGACGUCCAACCAGCGAAGCAGAGCAAUCCUUUUGGAAGCUUCUCUCCACGGGGGGCUGGCUGCUCCUUCAUCACUCCCAUCUGAGGGCUUCUGCUUGCAGCCGUCUGUCACGCUGAGCAGCUCUGUGGUGGAUUCUGUGCUGCUUGCUCUGUGUCUAUUUUGUCAAGAUCGCCAGUCUCUCUGGAUUCUCUCCUCUGGGUUGGCCCACGCUCACUCAUCCGGCUUUGGAAGGACAUUUAUCCUCUAGCUUCCUCCAGGAGGGGGAUUUGUCUUAGAGAGUGGCACUUUCUCUUCCCUCCCCAGCCCCUCGUGCACCUUCUGCAGGGAGGGGAGUCCCCUGGUGCUGAGAGGAGAGGUAGGAGAGCCAGGUAGGGCCUGUGGGAGCCCAGCAGAGGUGCCCUGGCCACCUUGAGUGUCUGAGACUCACGGUCUAUUAAAAAUGGAAAAACAAACUGGGCACCGUGGCUCCUACCUGUAAUUCCAG